GAGUUGCAAGAGAAGAGAGCUUUUGUAGUUUAGAUAAGAAUAAUACAAACAUAGCCACAAUCAACUGUCGCCGAUUGGGUGUGACAGAUGAAACAUUGCUGCAACCUUUGGAUGGAAACUCGAAUUUAAGGGCACUUCUUCUCACCAAAGCCAAAUACAUUGGCUUCACUAAGAAGGUUGCAUUGGCUCAAGUCAAGUCUCUCCGGGUUUUAGACCUCUCGCACCUUAAGUUUAAGGAGAGUUCCGAAUUUUGUGAAGAUGAUAUGUGGCGUUGGAUCACAUCUUUGAAACGCCUAAAUUAUUUGAGCUUCCGAGACGUGGAAAAUUUGACCAAACUGCCAC
rnacentral:misc_RNA from 1 species